rnacentral:lncRNA from 1 species
CUGGGGGUAUAGCCAAGAUGGCAGAGUAAUCCUCAGCAGCUCUAUACCAACAUGAGAAUCUUUCCCAACCAAAAUUAAAAUAUUGCCACAAAAUUAAUAUAGGAGUGAAAGAACCAACAAGAAGGCAGAGUGAAACAACUUUCAAGAAAAAAAAAACAAAGAUCUCCAAGCACUUACAAGGGAAAGAUUGCAUUACUACGAAUGAAUGUGAAACAGAGUUGCCUAAAGCAUUUCAACAGAAUUAGAAGUUGAAGACAUGUUCAUGAACUGAGCAAGUGCUGCAAUGGAGUUGGGAUGAUAAUUGCCAGACAAGAGCCAAAAAGUGGACAAGGUGAAGAAGACAGUUUGAUGCUAGGCAUUGUCAAGGUUAUAGCUUAGCUCCUCCUAGGAAUUGUCUCUGGAAACUGAGAGUGAAGAAUAAAGGAGCAAUAAGGAGCA